GGUUCCAUGGUCUAGGGGCUAGGACAUUGUACUUCGAAUCCAAUAGCCCGAGUUGAAAUCUCAGUUAAACCU
rnacentral:tRNA from 1 species